rnacentral:tRNA from 1 species
GCGCCCGUAGCUCAGCGGAUAGAGCGAUGGCCUCCGGAGCCAGAGGUGGGAGGUUCGAAUCCUCUCGGGCGCG